GGUAGGAACCGAAGGCGACGACCUUCGGGAGCUUGCACAGGUGCUGCAUGGCUGUCGUCAGCUCGUGUCGUGAGAUGUUCGGUUAAGUCCGCUAACGAGCGCAACCCUCGCUGUGUGUUACAAGUGUCACACGGUACUGCCGGUCUUAAGCCGGAGGAAGGUGGGGAUGACGUCAAGUCAGCAUGGCCUUUAUGUCCUAGGCUACACACACGCUACAAUGGCCAACACAAUAGGUUGCUAAGCCGCGAGGUGGAGCCAAUCCUCAAAGUUGGUCUCAGUUCAGAUUGCAGGCUGCAACCCGCCUGCAUGAAGAUGGAGUUGCUAGUAACCGCAGGUCAGCUAUACUGCGGUGAAUACGUUCCCGGGGCUU
rnacentral:rRNA from 1 species